AUUGAACGCUGGCGGCAUGCUUUACACAUGCAAGUCGAACGGUAACAGGCCGCAAGGUGCUGACGAGUGGCGAACGGGUGAGUAAUGCAUCGGAACGUGCCCAGUCGUGGGGGAUAACGCAGCGAAAGCUGCGCUAAUACCGCAUACGACCUAUGGAUGAAAGCGGGGGACCGUAAGGCCUCGCGCGAUUGGAGCGGCCGAUGUCAGAUUAGGUAGUUGGUGGGGUAAAGGCUCACCAAGCCAACGAUCUGUGGCUGGUCUGAGAGGACGACCAGCCACACUGGGACUGAGAAACGGCCCAGACUCCUACGGGAGGCAGCAGUGGGGAAUUUUGGACAAUGGGCGCAAGCCUGAUCCAGCAAUGCCGCGUGCAGGAAGAAGGCCUUCGGGUUGUAAACUGCUUUUGUACGGAACGAAACGGCUCUGGUUAAUACCUGGGGCUAAUGACGGUACCGUAAGAAUAAGCACCGGCUAACUACGUGCCAGCCGCCGCCGUAAAAC
rnacentral:rRNA from 1 species